GUAUCUCUGUGAGUGUAGAAGCACGAAUAUCAUCAGAGAGGAGAGAGGAGCAAUCAAUCCACUCUCGUCUUCUCCUUUGUUAGCUUCGGAAUCUUCUUCUUCUUCUUCAAUACAGCUUCGACACUAGAAAUUCAAAAGAUUUAUUUCCAACGUGGCCUUGGGUGAAUGCUGAAGGGAUCGACUUGGGACCAAAGUAUCCUCUGCGAUGCCACGAGCUGCUUGAUCGUGAACAAGAACGGUACACGCUCCCCACCAGGAAGUUGUGUACUGUCACUGCUGCGUAAUCAACUUCGAAAGGGCCUUCGAUUUCAUCGAGUGUGUAGGUAAGGCUAGUCAUGAGCUUUGUGCUUUGGAAAUCUGGUGUGGUGCUACUAACUACUUGAGCUUUGACGGUGAAUGAUUACAAGAAUAUACACUUUUGGAUACGAACAACGGCACGUAGUUCAAUGCUAGGAGGUGAUAGAAAUUUGUGUUGCUUUAUUGUUUGGUGUUAAUGAAAUGAAAAACAAUUUUCAAAAAACAACUAUUAGUCAUGAUCAAUUAAAAAG
rnacentral:lncRNA from 1 species